rnacentral:rRNA from 1 species
AACUUUAUUAGAAGAGACGCAUUUAUUAGAUAAAAAGCCAGUUCAUGCUUUUACAGUAUGAAAAUUGGUGAUUUAUAAUAACUUAGCAAAUCGCAAAGUGAAAACAGGCGAUAAAUCAUUCAAGUUUCUGACCUAUCAGCUUUCGACGGUAUGGUAUUGGCUUACCGUGGCAGUGACGGUUAACGGGGGAUUAGGGUUCGAUUCCGGAGAGGGAGCCUGAGAAACGGCUACCACAUCUAAGGAAGGCAGCAGGCGCGCAAAUUACCCAAUUCUAACAGUUUGAGAGAGGUAGUAACAAGAAAUAACAAUACAAGGCAGUUAAAAUGCUUUGUAAUUGGAAUGAUAGAAAUUUAAACCCUUUUUAAAGUAUCAAUUGGAGGGCAAGUCUGGUGCCAGCAGCCGCGGUAAUUCCAGCUCCAAUAGCGUAUAUUAAAAUUGUUGCAGUUAAAAAGCUCGUAGUUGAAGUUCUGCUGAAAGUAACCGGUCUGCUUUUAAUAAAAGUGGUAUCUUGGUAUGUAUUUAGCAAUGAUGUCCUUUGAAGUGUUUUUUACUUUAUUGUAAUAAAGCAUAUUCAGGACUUUUACUUUGAGAAAAUUAGA